rnacentral:lncRNA from 1 species
UAAUAAUUAAAUGGGAAGGAAUGUCCCACUAUUAAGGUGCCGACAUAUACUAUUUUCUCUCUCGUCCCAGAUACCUGGUUCACGUUGCGCAUGCUUGAGAAUUCCCCAUGAUAUUAAUAGAGGGGAAGAAUGAGGGGAAUAAUUUUGUGGUUAUGAUUCUGUUUACAAAUAUAUUUAUUAUUGUAAUUCAGAAAAACAAUUAUAAAUUUUAAAAAACUUUUGUUUUUAUUUAAAUAAUAUUCUUUUUCCAACAAUCAGUUAUUGAAAAAUGGUGAAGUUGUGUUAUUUAUGUGAUAGAAAAGCGUCGAGAGCUGACAAUAUUUCUUUGCAUCAAUUUCCGAAAAAUUUGGAGAUACGUUUGAAGUAGCUAAAUGCUUGUGGAUUAACUGAAAAUGAUGAUGUAAAAAGAACUUGCAUAUGUUCCAGACAUUUCAAAGCUGAUGGUAUUUGUCAAUCAAAAAUUUUUGGAGUUGUUAAAUCUUCUAUAAAACGUAAUGCAGUUCCUACACUUUAUUUAACAAAUCCACACAGUAUUGAUAAAACUAGUAAAUUACCACCAAACACGCCGCUAUCGGAAGUAUUUGAUGAGAAUGGAGUCAGCAAUCAAUCGUCAUCAUGUUUUUCUGAGAAUAAUAUUGUCAACCAAUAUAAUGUACUCAAUACUUUGCAAAAAAGUCCAAAAAAAUGUUUUGAAGUAGACAAUACUGAAUGUCAAACCUCAAAUAAUAGUAGCAUUAAUUUUGGAGCCUCUUGUAACCAAUCUGAUUUAAAUGAAUUUAUAGAAAAUGCAAAAUCAAAUCCUAUCAGCGAAGACGAAAAUACUGUUCCACAUGAAAUUGAUUCCCAAAUCAAUUUCGAAAAGCGUAAAUUUUACGAG